AUGCCGUCUAUGCUCCAACGCAUCAUCGCCGGGCUCACCGGCGAGUUCUCCAUGAAGGACCUCAGGCCACUGCACUUCUUCCUCGGCAUCAAGGUCACGCGCACUUCCGUGGGGUUCUUCCUCUCUCAACAACAGUAUAAGGAGGACGUGCUUGAUCGCGCUGGCAUGGACACCUGUCGGCCCUCUCCCACGCACGUCGACACCAAGGGCAAGCUUCCCGCUGUCGACGGGCCCCGUGUGGAUGACGCCUCCGCCUACCGCAGCACCACAGGCACGCUGCAGUACCUCACCAUCACCAGGCCUGAGAUCGCCUACGCUGUGCAGCAGGUCUGCCUGCAUAUGCAUGACCCGCGCGAGUGCCAUCUCGCCUUGGUCAAGCACGUUCUUCGGUAUGUCCGUGGCACGACACAUCUCGGGCUGCAUCUGCGCGCCCCGCGCUCACUGGAUCUUCACGCCUUCGCCGAUGCCGACUGGGUCGGCUGCCCCGACACCCGGCGCUCCACCUCCGGCUUCUGCAUCUACCUCGGCGACACCCUCGUUUCCUGGUCUUCCAAGCGCCAGGCAACGGUGUCUCGAUCCAGCGCGGAGGUCGAGUACCGCGGCGUCGCCAACGCUGUGGCGGAGUGUGUGUGGCUGCGUCAACUCCUCGGCGAGCUCUUCCUGCCAGUCGACAAGGCGACCAUCGUCUAUUGCGACAAUGUGUCCGCGGUGUACCUCUCCGUCAACCCCGUCCACCAUCGCCGCACGAAGCAUGUGGAGCUUGACAUCCACUUUGUGCGCGAGCGCGUGGCCCUCAGCGAGUUCCGCGUCCUUCACAUCCCCACGCUCCAGCAGCUCGCCGACAUCAUGACCAAGGGGCUGCCCACGGAUGCCUUCUGCAACUUUCGUUCCAGUCUUUGCGUCGCCGCUGCCGACGUUCCAGGCAGUAGUAUGCCAUCGUGUACGCCCUCUGUAUAG
rnacentral:rRNA from 1 species